AAAUUGAAGAGUUUGAUCAUGGCUCAGAUUGAACGCUGGCGGCAGGCCUAACACAUGCAAGUCGAACGGUAACAGGAAGCAGCUUGCUGCUUUGCUGACGAGUGGCGGACGGGUGAGUAAUGUCUGGGAAACUGCCUGAUGGAGGGGGAUAACUACUGGAAACGGUGGCUAAUACCGCAUAACGUCGCAAGACCAAAGAGGGGGACCUUCGGGCCUCUUGCCAUUAGAUGUGCCCAGAUGGGAUUAGCUUGUUGGUGAGGUAACGGCUCACCAAGGCGACGAUCCCUAGCUGGUCUGAGAGGAUGACCAGCCACACUGGAACUGAGACACGGUCCAGACUCCUACGGGAGGCAGCAGUGGGGAAUAUUGCACAAUGGGCGCAAGCCUGAUGCAGCCAUGCCGCGUGUAUGAAGAAGGCCUUCGGGUUGUAAAGUACUUUCAGCGGGGAGGAAGGUGUUGUGGUUAAUAACC
rnacentral:rRNA from 3 species